GCCUGGUUAGUUCAGUUGGUAGAACGCUCCAAUGGAAAUGGAGGGGUCCCGGGUUCGAUACCGGACCUGGCA
rnacentral:tRNA from 1 species